GUAAGAUAAGUAAUUGUGUGCUUAAGCAUAGCAUACCAUUUUGUCGGCGGCUGAUGGUGACUGUUGGGAUCAUUCGUAUUAAUGAUAUCAUUAGCAUCAACAGAGAGUAUGGCCUCUCCUGCUUGGUUUUUCCUCCAUGCACCCUUAAGAUCACACUGGUUGGGGAGUAGGAGACAGAUCAGCAUUCAACUGUGCCCUGGGUGCAACCAUAAAAUAAGAGAGAUUCCAUGAGUCAAGAUUUCUUACCGCUUGAUCCAGGAUAGAGUUGUCUCCAGACCAAAACCAACUUCUUUUUUCUUGUCUCUGGGCAUUUUCAGGGUUGAUGAUUCAGCCAUAGUCUGUCUUCUUUAUGCUCAGAUACUUCAUUGGGUUCUCCAGGGAACGGGAAGCUUUGAAAAGACCGAGCAUGUUCUUCUGUCUUGCUGUCUGUGCUGCCUGUCUUGACACUAUAAACAAAAGCUAACAACAGACGAAUCAGACCUGCAGCACUAAGAAUGAGCCAAGACUCAUCGUAGGACAUCCCAAGAGUCUUUCCUCCCCUGCCGAAGUGGUAAACACAUGGUUUAGGAAGUAGGGAAAGAAGCCAAGGACAGCUACCUUUGGAACUUGCAGGUCUUGCACUUCAUGCAGCCAGCCCUAAACCUUCCCCUCCCUCCAUCAUGACUUAAGAUGGUGUGAUCAAGAUAAGGCAGAUAGGGUUAAAAUUCAGAUGCUCCUUAAUAGAGAUUGACAAAAAAUGAAGAUAAACUUCGUCUGGACUCGAUGAAGGGGCCUUCCUUGAACUGGAGAUGGCCAGACGUGGCAAUAGAGCAGACCCAGGAUUACGCAGAGGUGAUGGGAUCAUUUCUGAGGGUAGUUAGAUGAGCCAGACAUAGCCAGGCCUGGUUGCUGGAGAGGAUAAUGUUUCCUCCGGGGAAGAACACGAGGUAAUAAAUGGCUUUUGCAGCAAUUAAACGCGAGAGCGAAAGGUGAGCCUCCGACUCCACGGUGCCAUCUCUUUUUUAAGAACAACAGCAACGCAAAUGACCACGAGGCACCGAUUGCAAAGAACCGUCCCCCUCACCUGGACAUAGGCGGCUGUUUUCUCUCUUGGUGAACUUUUCACCGCACCUCCUUAUGGGUUUCGCAGAGCCGAUGUUCUGUGGGAGCUCAGAGAGUCCUUUUCCAUCUUGCAUUUGCUAAAAUGCACUCAGCAUCCCAUUAUUAUAGAUUAUGCAAGAUUGUAACAUGGUUGAGAUGAAAAAGUAGCCCUUGAUGCUUCUGAGAGAAGGAAUUCAGACUGACCCCUUGGAGACCAAGCUACUGACUCUUUGUUUUUCCACAGAUCUACUUGCCUGAGGGAACAGGUCAGCUAUUCCUUCCUUUUAAUUCCUGUCUUGUGGGAGUUGUGAAAACAUGAAGCAAGGAGAGAAUAUCCCUGCAAACGCGCGUCACAUACCCACAGCUCUCCACAUAAAGCAAGCUUAAGCACACGCGCACGCACACUCACACAUCACACAUCACACACGCACACAUGCAUGCGUUAGAGUCAAGGUUUUAGAACUUUACUUAGGGCAGCUUGCUUAUGGGGAAAGGGGCUCCAGAAUUGGAGUUCAGGAAGGCAGGGACUCACCUCUACUCUGAUUAGCUAUGUGGCCUCCCAGAAAGCGUUUCACCUCUCUGGGCCUUUGUUUCCUCAUUUGAAAAAAAAAUGAAGCUUUGGAUUUGAUGACUUUUGUGAUUCCUCACAGACUCAACGUUCUCAGAUUUAGUGAAUCCGUUUCUAAAUGCAAGCCUCAUUCAGGAAGGCUCAUGAGGGGUGUGUGUGUGUGUGUGAUGCAUCCCAGCUGUGCACAGCAGAUAAUACAAGGACUGUGUUUUGUUGCCUCCCAAGCUCACUCUCCCGUGGACGUGCUCUCUGCUGUCCACCCCUCCCCCUGGCUUCUGUGCACUUUUCAUGGCCCCGUUAUAUCCAGACAGCUACAUCUUCUGAAAAUCAUAAUUAGAGUGAGGCUGGCAUGACACAUCUCUCAAGCCCCAAACACCAGUGCAAACCAGCACUCGAUUCCUGUUGGGAGGCAGUCGAGGUAACCACGGCCCACUCGAGCGUGCAGGGAGAUUGGCUGUAUGCUCCACUGCACCGGAGCAUGUCAAUACUCCUGAAUAAACUAAUCAACCCAUUUGCACCUUCGUGAAAACGCACCUUGGAGUCAAUGAAAUAGGCGUGGUAGUGACAAUACCAACAUAGAGUAGGGGAAAAGAAGGAAGAGGGUUACAAAGAACAAACUCGCUGUUUUUCCAAAAGGAAAGGAGGUGCUGUGUGUCCAGCGACUUGGGGUGAGGUUAGAGAGAUGGCCCAUACAUCCCAGAGAUGGAGAUCCCUCUGCCUUCUUGCCCCUCGCCAU